CUUGGUCAUUUAGAGGAAGUAAAAGUCGUAACAAGGUUUCCGUAGGUGAACCUGCGGAAGGAUCAUUAGUGAAUUAAACAUGCUUGGUGUCCUCGCUUCGGCAAGGCCCUUGCUUAACUCACAUCCCAACACCUGUGAACUGUAAGGCGCAUGACUAGGUUCGCCCAAGUCAUCGUCUGCCCUUUUUAACAAACAAUUAAUGUAACAAACGUAGUCUUAUUAUAACCUAAUAAAACUUUCAACAACGGAUCUCUUGGCUCUCGCAUCGAUGAAGAACGCAGCGAAAUGCGAUAAGUAAUGUGAAUUGCAGAAUUCAGUGAAUCAUCGAAUCUUUGAACGCACCUUGCGCUCUUUGGUAUUCCGAAGAGCAUGCCUGUUUGAGUGUCAUGAAAAUAUCAACCUUGACUUGGGUUUUGUGCUCUAGUCUCGGCUUGGAAUUGGGUGCUUGCCGCUUUUACGAGCGGCUCACCUUAAAUGUAUUAGCUGGAUCUGUCUUUGAGACUUGGUUUGACUUGGCGUAAUAAGUAUUUCGCUAAGGACAUUCUUCGGAGUGGCCUCGUUUCUAGGACGCUUGUCCGCUUUCCAAUACAAGUUCCACCUCGUGGACAUGACUUUUUAUUAUCUGGCCUCAAAUCAGGUAGGACUACCCGCUGAACUUAAGCAUAUCAAUAAGCGGAGGAAAAGAAACUAACAAGGAUUCCCCUAGUAACGGCGAGUGAAGCGGGAAAAGCUCAAAUUUGAAAUCUGGCAGCCUCAGGUUGCCCGAGUUGUAAUCUAUAGAAACGUUUUCCGCGCCGGCCCAUGUACAAGUCCCUUGGAACAGGGCGUCAUAGAGGGUGAGAAUCCCGUCCUUGACACGGACCACCGGUGCUUUGUGAUACGUUUUCAACGAGUCGAGUUGUUUGGGAAU
rnacentral:sRNA from 1 species